rnacentral:rRNA from 1 species
AUUGAACGCUGGCGGCAUGCUUUACACAUGCAAGUCGAACGGCAGCGCGGGCUUCGGCCUGGCGGCGAGUGGCGAACGGGUGAGUAAUACAUCGGAACGUGCCCAGCAGUGGGGGAUAGCUCGGCGAAAGCCGGAUUAAUACCGCAUACGACCUGAGGGUGAAAGCGGGGGAUCGUCGGACCUCGCGCUAUUGGAGCGGCCGAUGGCGGAUUAGCUAGUUGGUGGGGUAAAGGCCUACCAAGGCGACGAUCUGUAGCUGGUCUGAGAGGACGACCAGCCACACUGGAACUGAGACACGGCCCAGACUCCUACGGGAGGCAGCAGUGGGGAAUUUUGGACAAUGGGCGAAAGCCUGAUCCAGCAAUGCCGCGUGUGUGAUGAAGGCCUUCGGGUUGUAAAGCACUUUUGGCGGGAACGAAAAGGAUUGUGCCAAUACCACGGUUCGAUGACGGUACCCGCAGAAUAAGCACCGGCUAACUACGUG